UACGAAGGGUGCAAGCGUUACUCGGAAUUACUGGGCGUAAAGCGUGCGUAGGUGGUGAGUUAAGUCUGUCGUGAAAGCCCCGGGCUCAACCUGGGAACUGCAUUUGAAACUGGCGGGCUUGAGUAUGGCAGAGGGGGGUGGAAUUCCGCGUGUAGCAGUGAAAUGCGUAGAGAUGCGGAGGAACACCGAUGGCGAAGGCAGCCCCCUGGGCCAAUACUGACGCUCAGGCACGAAAGCGUGGGGAGCAAACAGG
rnacentral:rRNA from 1 species